rnacentral:rRNA from 1 species
AACGUAGGAGGCAAGCGUUAUCCGGAGUAACUGGGCGUAAAGGGCGGGUAGGUGGUUGUGUAAGUUGGUUAUGAAAGCUCCUGGCUAAACUGGGAGAGGUUGACCAAGACUGCAGAACUUGAGUGGAGAAGAGGUAAACGGAAUUCCGCGUGUAGUGGCGAAAUGCGUAGAGAUGCGGAAGAACACCAGUGGCGAAGGCGGUUUACUGGUCUCCAACUGACACUGAGCCGCGAAAGCAUGGGUAGCGAACGGG